GAUAAUGCGGGAGGAAAGUCCGGGCAGCAUAGGACAAUCCACUUCUGAAAAUAGAAGCUGUCGGUGACGGCAGGUAAGGGCAGAAGAGAAUGACCGCCAUCACGUUUUGUGUUUGGCAAGGGUGAGAAGGUGGUGUAAGAGACCACCAGUCGGCAGGUGACUGUCGAGCUGUGCCCGCUGGAUGCUGCAAGUUCAUGUAAACCAUCGUCUGAGGGUAGUCCGUCCGAUUCGAUGGAGGGUAGAACGCUUGAGCCGUAGGGUGACCUGCGGCGUAGAUAAAUGACAGGCACCCAUUGUCGGUGAGAACCGUCAUGGGGACAGAACCCGGCUUAUAGGGACGCU
rnacentral:RNase_P_RNA from 1 species